rnacentral:tRNA from 1 species
GCUUUUGUGGUGUAAUUAGGAGCAUGUUCGGCUAGCAAUUGAAAGAUUCAGAGUUUGAAUCCCAGUGAAGGCA